CUGACUCACACUGGGAAAUGGAGUGACUGGCACUGGCACUGGUUGAAGCAGAGGACGAGGACAAGGUACAGGCUGGCACCAGGGAGCAGAAUAGACGGCGAACAGCCUGGCCAAUGUCUUUAUGGUAAAUGAGAAUCACAGAGCAGGCUGCCCAGCAAAAAGGGGGGUCCACUGGAAAGGGCCCUGGGGAAGUUGGGGGUAGAAGGCUGGGGUAGACAGGGCUGAGGGAAAGAGGGAAUCAAGUCAUUGGCUGUAUUUUCUGGAGUAAGAUGAGACGUUGGUGCCCCUGUGCCAGAGGAGACCUAGCCAUGACAUGAUUGAUUUCACACCCUGUAAGGGAGCAUUUCAAAAGAAGCCAGGCUGGUUUUGAAAUAUGAGGCCACGGUGUGGUUGACUGUAUAUCUUUGGCUAUUUUUUUUUCUGUGAGGCAAUUACAUUAAGUGCUUAACAUCAAUCCAGAGGGGGAAAUGAGGGCACUGUGCUUUGAACAGAGGAUUUGAUGAAGAGAGGUGGGGUGUGGUGGCGACACUGUCUCCCCACCCAAUACAAAUGCAGCAAGUGGAGAAAACAGACCCUGCAGCCCCUGAGUUCCAGUGACCGUGACAAGGGACACAUAAACGCCCAAGAGCAUGAGGUAGUAUCAGUUGUGUCAACAGCUGCAUGUUACAAAUGCCGCAGGUGAGUGAGACUUGCCAACUGUUAAUGGAACUGCUGGAAAUGAAAGACAACCGGGCACCUGCUGCAAGCCGCCCUCCCUGGCCCACCCCACCUGAGCUGUGGCCUGAGCCAGCUCUCUGCCUCACUCUUUUCUUCUUUCACAUUGGGUCCAAAAUAAAGCUUGUUCCUAAACAUGUUUUACAACCUGGCUGGACCCCCACAGCGGUCCCUCCAGGUGUGAAGGGAUGCUGGGCAUCAGAUGCCAGGGUAAAAAGUUCACCUGCAGGUGCAAAUGCCACCAAGAGCCUCCUCUCACUCCAACCUCUCCUCCCAAUAGCGUUCUCCCAUCACAGAAGGGCCACCCGGGGAGGGUCACAAGAGCAGCCAGGAAACAAGAGCACUCAACAUUCUGUGGAACCCUGUUCAAAGGACAGAGGGCAAGAGAGAAGUCCAGGCAAGUACAUAGAAGAGCCAGGGAAAUAUCAAAUAAGGAGAAAGGUGCAUAGGGAAUCACCAGAAGAAUUUAUACAGAGAAAGACAUCCAUUUAAAAAGGGCUGAAAGCCAGGUGAGCUGGCACACGCCUAUGAUCUCAGCCACCUGGGAGGCUAAGGCUGUUGCAUUGCAAGUUCAAGGCCAGCCUCGACAACACUGUCUUAAAUUUUUUUUUUUUUUUUAAAAAGGGUUGAGGUUGUAACUCUAUAUUAAGUACCCUUGGCUUCAAAUACAGUACAAAAAAAAAAAGUUCUGAAGGAAUAAACAUAAUUGUAUAAUCCUUUUAUUUUUUUAAACAUUUGUUUUUUAGAAGUAGUUGGACACAAUCCCUUUAUUUUAUUUAUGUAUUUUUAUGUGGUGCUGAGGAUCGAACCCAGGGCCUCGAACGUGCUAGACGAGCACUCCACUGCUGAGCCACAACCCCAGUCCUGUAUAAUCCUUUUAAAAAUAGACAUUUUCAAUGAUGUAGAAAAGCAAAAAGAACUGUCAAAGGAACCCUGUGUGUCUAUCACCCAACUCUAACCAACGUGAACAUGGGCCCUUCUUACUUUAUCUGCUCCACUGUCUUGUACCUGGACUAUUUUGUGUGACUCAACUUGCUGUUACUAUAACAAAUAUCUGACUUGAUCUACUUAUAAAGAGAAAGGUUUACUUGGGUUCUUUCAGUCCCUGAUGGCAUGGCCCCAUUACUUUGGGCCUUUGGGGAGGCAGCACAUAUGGCAGGAAGCAUGUGAUAGAGCAUAUAAUGCCAGGAAGCAAAAAUGAGGAAGAAAAGAACUUGGGGGUCCCACUAUCCCCCGAAAGAGUGUACCCCUAAUGACCUAAAGACCUCCACACUAGUCCCCAGCUCUUAAAGUUUCCACAUGGAACCUAAACCUUUAGCAUAGGAACCUUAAAGGGACAUUAAAGAUCCAAGCCGUAGCAUAUUUUUUUAAAAAUCCCAGAGAUUUCAUUUCACCAUAAAUUUCUCAGAAUAUAUUCAUAAAGCACUGUGUCUUUUGCAUUUUUGACAGAAAUUUCCAUCUGAAAGAUAGAGAACUUAAAGAGGAAAUUUGAAAGGAGAGGAAGGUCUUAGAGAGGCAGUAACAGAAUAUUGUACUCUACUGCAUGCUUUGCCCUGCAGUGAUCCCCAAGGCCCUGGGUAGGGUACUGUACCAACACCUUUUUAUGUGGCUUCCUGAGCACGGACUGAUUUCUUUUCCUUGGAAACUGACCAGUAGUAAUGUCUGCUCUCUAUGAUCCUGCCCUGCUGGCCCAAGAGGUUAUUCCAAAGAUAGAGACUUUGGGCCAACAAGGCCAUUGAGAUUCUGUGCUGGGGAUUUGAAUUUGGAAGAAGAAAGUCACAGGUAGGCAAAACUCUAGAUUAAAAGAGAAAGCCUCUUUGCUCUUACUGCAGAGACUCUAGAAACCGCCCUUCUUGAACUUGGGGAAGCUUGGGGAAAUUCUUAGCUUUCCCAAAGUUUGGGGUGGAACAUUUGCUUAGGUUCUGUGAGAUACCCCAUAAUCUUUCAAAUAAAUUUCCCUCUGAUGGCACUGCUAGCCAGAACUAACUUUCACUAUUGCAGCCAAAAGAACUUUAAUUACUACAGAUCUCUCUAGAAGGAUUGUGGUCUAGAGAUUCAAGCAAACUCAAAACUAAAAUAGGGAUGAAAACAUCAUGAAGCAAACCUUGUAUGUUAAGUUCACUGCUAUUUUCCCAAUUAGCACUGUCCCCAGCACACAGUAGUCAUUCACUACUUAACUAUUGAUUAAGUUGAAUAUCAAUCUUUCUAGCAGAGAAGAGAUGGUGUAAUCAGCCCAUUGUGGAGCAAGUCCAAUCGUCUUCUAGAAGUAUGGGUUUGGCUCUGACCCUGGCACUUCCUGGAGGGAGUCACUCAGCCUCUUUGGACCUCAGUUUUCUCAUCUGUGAAUUGGGGAAAUCAGUUCAGCCAGAUUUACAGAGUUAUUGCGAAGCUCAAAUGAGGUCAUACUUUGUAAACUAUAAACCGUUUGCAAAUGAAAGCUUCGGAUCUACUUUGGAGAUUAAACCACAAGAAGCCUGAGAACCAAACUGAUUCUUUUUUCCAAAACCUAUUGCUUCUGCAUUCAGAUCAUCAGGUGCUCAAGAUGACUAGGUACACCAUGACUGGCAUCCAUCGCGAGCAUCAAUGGCUCCUCCAUCCUGCCUGAGAGGCCACCAGGUUGGCCAGAAGCAAGUGGGUGUCCUGGGACCCGAGGCAUGAAACAGCUUGAACUUUCCCAUUACCCGAAUGGCUCAACACUUUUAGAACAUUGCUGCAUUGUUCUGCGCCCUUAGGUUUCCGGUUGGCAGGCCAACCCCAGGCGUUGCCAGCAAGCCCAUAGCUAUGAUGAUUCGUCUCACCUCCAGCCAUUCAUCUCCCUGAGUACACCAGGACAUCAUCUCACAGUGUUACUACCCAAGAGAACAGGGGCGGGGCGUGGGGGAAGGGGAUUACAUCAUCAUUAUUAUUGUUAUUCACUUAUCAGAUGAUUAUUAAUUACACUUCAAUUAAAGGCUUGCAGUCUUUACAAGCAUGAGCUCAUCAGACACACAAUGCCCAAAGGAGGUCAAGAACCAGGAGACGGGCUGAUGUGUUCAGGAAUGAGCUGACUUAAGUUGCAGAAAUCCUGGCAUUUGGUUUUUUCCCUCUCUCUCUCCAGUCUAGCAGGUGAGGGUCUCUCAAUCCCCCCACGGAUGUCUCCUGGAGUCUGUCAAAGUGACAAGGAUAGAAUUAGCCCUUCUCAAUACUUCCAUGGAGUUAAAAGGAAAGAAAGCAGAAGAAGCCAGUUCAUGACCAGGAGCUGAGCCGCAGCCAGCUCACCCCCAAGAUAAAUAAGCCCAGGGAGUUAACUUCUUGGGAAUCCAAGGAGCAACAGCUGGCGUGGUGGAUUUUAAAUGUGCAGUGCUCUGUGGAAGGUUCCGGGAAGGUUCUGGCUGGGGAGGUGGUGGGGCAAGGCUUUAGAUAUCAGGAAGUCAUUUUGUCACUGGAGGCCAAAGAACAGGGCCGUGGUGCCCAGAAACAGAAAAUGGUGAGCGGCAUCCAGAGCCCUCAGAAAAGUGCUGCGGCCACAGACAGGAGCGAAGCCCAGGGCAGGAGCCACAGGUGAACCCCUUUGAGGGAUGCAGGUCCCACCCCUGUGACAGCAUCUCUGUGACCUCUCAUCAUACCAAAGCCCCAGAAGACUGUUAAAACCCAGCUCAAACCUGACUCCCCCAGGAAAGGUGUCCCUUUAAAAUAAGUAGCAGGUAGAACAACUGCAUAUGUUUUUUUUUCAUUUCUUUUCUUUCUUUCUCUCUCUCUGUCUCUCUCUCUGUUUCUUCUUUCUUUCUUCCUUCCUUCCUUCCUUCCUUCCUUGGGGAGUGGUAUGGAAAAGGAUGGAAUCUGCUAAGAGGCAGAGGGAGGCACCAGGUUCUUCAGUGAGCCAGACAACCUAUCCCACAGUAGCCACCUCCAACCUGGCUACAAAGUUAAUAAAACCUGAAGGGGAUGGAAAAAGAAGCAGAAACCUGAGGCAGUCGGUCCCUUAUCUUGAAAGAAAAAUCAGUGCUUUAGUUAGCCGGAGAGGUUUGCCAAUUAAAAGGCUCUUGAAAGAAGUGAAUAAAUAAAAUCCCAGUUAGUUCUCCUGUGCUGGGUGGGGAGGGAGGGUCCUGGGGCUUUGUUCUAUAAAGGGCUUGGGCUUUACAGGAUAGGGAGUUAGGGCCUCUGUCCCCCACCCUCCUUCUACUAUCUUUACCCAAUGAGGUUUGUAGUGAUCUAAUCGGGAAGAGAUAAAGCCCAAUUUCCUAAGCUCUGGAGCUGAUAAACACCAAGCCAAAGACAAGCUCUGUUCACAAAGCAAUAAUUAAAGCUCUCAGGAACCCAACCAGUACUGUGGUCAAAAGGACAAGGACAAACUCAUAUUUCUCAAUGCCAUUCUGGGCAGCUGUAAGCACCUCUUGUUGGAAUUUAAUCCAGAGGAAUUAGCAUUAUCAUCAUCCACGUCUUUAUGGAUUCAACUAGACCGUAACAGCACAUGACCAGCCUGGCUACCACCUAACUCUGCUGACCACAAGCACCAAGCAUGCCAUUAAUGUAGCCUUCUGUCGAGAUUCAGCAAAAUAAGCUCUAUUGUAUUUCUUACUGAUCGAGGGUCUAAAUUCUAGGGAUUAUAUGAUUGCCUGUGAAGUGGGGUGCCCUUUUAUUUGUAAAACACGGAUAGCCAGAUAUUACCUGACAGUGCGGGAGUUUCUUAGUUCUGCAGAGCAAGUUCUCUCCCUUGAAGCAUUUGGAAAUAGUAAUGUGCAUGUACUAGGAGAUGUGGGGUCGAAGCAAAGGGAAAGAAUAUGUACGGCCAUGCUUUCUAUACCCAACAGGGUUUUUUCCAGAGUUGUAACCUGGUGAAAGACAGGGAGAGGAUGGGGUCAAUCCUGCUCAGAGUGAGCCAUUCUUUAGGUCCCUUUGAGAACACCAAGAAAUGUCAACAGGAAAUGGACAGGUCUCCAUUUGGAUCAGAGAUAAUCCUGGCUGGAACAGAAAACAGGGCUGUGGGUCUGCCAGCAUUUGGACAGACUGUGAACGUCUUACUAGGAUCAAGAGGAAGACAGGGUCCUGGCUGAGGCAUCAAUGUUUUCUCCUAUUAAAAAAAAAAAAUCACUGGAAACUGUCUUUUGGAAUGAAAUUUAACUUAGGCUUUGACUAUAGAAAACAGAUAAAUAUGGUAUUUUAUAAGUUUAUUUCAAAUAUUUUUACUUUAAAUGUUUAUCAAAAAGGAUAAUGAGACAACUUUGAUGAGCCUAAGUAUCUGGAAUUAAAUGUCAUGCUUUGCUUC